AGAGUUUGAUCCUGGCUCAGGAUGAACGCUAGCGGGAGGCUUAACACAUGCAAGUCGAGGGACAGCAUAAUGUAGCAAUACGUUGAUGGCGACCGGCGCACGGGUGAGUAACGCGUAUGUAACCUACCCUGUACAGGGGGAUAACCCGGAGAAAUUCGGACUAAUACCCCAUAAUUAUAUUUUAAGGCAUCUUAGAAUUUUAAAGUUUCGACGGUACGGGAUGGGCAUGCGUGACAUUAGCUAGUUGGUAAGGUAACGGCUUACCAAGGCUUCGAUGUCUAGGGGUCCUGAGAGGGUGAUCCCCCACACUGGUACUGAGACACGGACCAGACUCCUACGGGAGGCAGCAGUGAGGAAUAUUGGUCAAUGGGCGUAAGCCUGAACCAGCCAUCCCGCGUGAAGGAAGAAGGCGCUAUGCGUCGUAAACAUCUUUUCCAGAGGAAUAAAAUUUCGUACCGUACGGAACUGAAGGUACUUUGGGAAUAAGCAUCGGCUAACUCCGUGCCAACAGCCGCGGUAAUACGGAGGAUGCGAGCGUUAUCCGGAUUUAUUGGGUUUAAAGGGUGCGUAGGCGGAUUAAUAAGUCAGUGAUGAAAACCUUCAGCUUAACUGGAGAACUACCAUUGAUACUGUUAGUCUUGAGUACGGUCAAGGUAGGCGGAAUGUGUAAUGUAGCGGUGAAAUGCUUAGAUAUUACACAGAACACCGAUUGCGAGGCAGCUUACUGGGCCAUUACUGACGCUGAGGCACGAAAGCGUGGGGAGCGAACAGGAUUAGAUACCCUGGUAGUCCACGCCGUAAACGAUGAUCACUCGCUGUUGGCGAUACACAGUCAGCGGCUAAGCAAAAGCAUUAAGUGAUCCACCUAGAGAGUACGACCGCAAAGCUAAAACUCAAAGGAAUUGACGGGGGCCCGCACAAGCGGAGGAACAUGUGGUUUAAUUCGAUGAUACGCGAGGAACCUUACCUGGGUUAAAUGUAGAGUGCAUGAGGUAGAAAUACUUCUUUCCUUCGGGACUCUUUACAAGGUGCUGCAUGGUUGUCGUCAGCUCGUGCCGUGAGGUGUCGGGUUAAGUCCCAUAACGAGCGCAACCCUUAUCGUUAGUUGCCAGCGGGUAAUGCCGGGAACUCUAACGAAACUGCCGGUGUAAACCGUGAGGAAGGUGGGGAUGACGUCAAAUCAGCACGGCCCUUAUGUCCAGGGCUACACACGUGUUACAAUGGCCGGUAAGAGGGCAGCUACCUGGAGACAGAAUGCGAAUCUCGAAAGCCGGUCUCAGUUCGGAUCGGAGUCUGCAACUCGACUCCGUGAAGCUGGAUUCGCUAGUAAUCGCGCAUCAGCCAUGGCGCGGUGAAUACGUUCCCGGGCCUUGUACACACCGCCCGUCAAGCCAUGGAAGUUGGGGGUACCUGAAGUCCGUAACCGUAAGGAGCGGCCUAGGGUAAAACUAGUGACUGAGGCUAAGUCGUAACAAGGUAACC
rnacentral:rRNA from 1 species